UACGUAGGGGGCGAGCGUUGUCCGGAUUUAUUGGGCGUAAAGAGCGUGUAGGCGGUUCGGUAAGUCUGUCGUGAAAUCCUGAGGCUCAACCUCGGACGUGCGAUGGAUACUGCCGGGCUAGAGGAUGGUAGAGGCGAGUGGAAUUCCUGGUGUAGCGGUGAAAUGCGCAGAUAUCAGGAGGAACACCUAUUGCGAAGGCAGCUCGCUGGGACGUAACUGACGCUGAGACGCGAAAGCGUGGGGAGCAAACAGG
rnacentral:rRNA from 1 species